rnacentral:rRNA from 1 species
UACAGAGGUCUCAAGCGUUUGUUCGGAUUCAUUGGGCGUAAAGGGUGCGUGGGCGGCGCGGUAAGUCGGGUGUGAAAUCUCGGAGCUUAACUCCGAAACUGCAUUCGAUACUGCCGUGCUUGAGGACUGGAGAGGAGACUGGAAUUUACGGUGUAGCGGUGAAAUGCGUAGAUAUCGUAAGGAAGACCAGUGGCGAAGGCGGGUCUCUGGACAGUUCCUGACGCUGAGGCACGAAGGCCAGGGGAGCAAACGGG